GUGGGGAAUAUUGGACAAUGGGCGCAAGCCUGAUCCAGCCAUGCCGCGUGAGUGAUGAAGGCCUUAGGGUUGUAAAGCUCUUUCAAUAGGGAAGAUAAUGACGGUACCUACAGAAGAAGCCCCGGCUAACUUCGUGCCAGCAGCCGCGGUAAUACGAAGGGGGCUAGCGUUGUUCGGAUUUACUGGGCGUAAAGCGCACGUAGGCGGAUUGGUCAGUUAGAGGUGAAAUCCCGAAGCUCAACUUCGGAACUGCCUUUAAUACUGCCAGUCUCGAGUCCGGAAGAGGUGAGUGGAACUCCUAGUGUAGAGGUGGAAUUCGUAGAUAUUAGGAAGAACACCAGUGGCGAAGGCGGCUCACUGGUCCGGUACUGACGCUGAGGUGCGAAAGCGUGGGGAGCAAACAGGAUUAGAUACCCGAGUAGUCC
rnacentral:rRNA from 1 species